CUGGUACUUAUUCGUUACUACUUCGUUUGUUAUACGUUGCAACUUAAGAAUAUAUUUGAAUUGUUCUCGUCUCUGGUAUUAUCUGUUGGUUCUGAGAGGUGACAUAUCUUAUAAUGUUUUCCCCGUUUCAGCGCUCGAUUGAUACCAUUUGACUUACUCGUUCCUUAUUCGUUACUUAUUCAUUUUUUGUACGUUGCACCUUUUAAUGCUUUAUUUUCUUUUGUUUUGUUUUUUUUUGUGGGGGGGGGGGGGGGGGGGGGGGGGGUCAUGCGCGUAAUGUUCUCGUUAUAGCACACUACUGAUACACUGCUCUUAUUGUUGUAAUAUUGUGGUUUAUACCAAUGAAUGGGGAACCUUUAUAAGAAGAACUUUUCAAUUUUGUUCUUGUCUCUUGUGUUAGCUACGGGUUCUUAGAUGUGAAAUAACAAUAUAAGCGCGUGUGUUCCCGUUUGAGCGCGCGACUGAUGCUCUGUUUUUUAUUUCCUACUUGUUUUUUUCUUUAUUCACAUUUUAAAUGUUGGAUUUUUCUUUUAUUUUCUUGUCUCAUGUGAAUAUUAGCUAUGAAAUUGCAGAUGGAAAAUAAUCAUAUGAGCGCAAAUGCACCCGUUUCAGCGCGACUGAUACCCGUUAUUUAUUUGUUCCUUUUUCGUAAGUAAGGCGUAUGCUACUUCGUUUUCCCUUUAAAAAAUCUUUUCAAAUAUUGUCUUGCCUCUGGUGUACAUGUGUUAGCAAUAUGUUUUUAGCGAUGAAAUUAUCCUCUAGGCUCGUAAGAACCAGUUUCAACGCUCGACUGAUACCAUGUUACUUAUUCGCUACUUAUUCGUUCCUAAUUAAAUAUUUAUACGUCUCAUUUGGUCAAUGCUUACUUUUCUUUUAUUUCCUUGUGCCUGAUGUUAGCUGUGAGUUUUUGAUGGGGAAUCAUCCUAUAAACGCUUAUAUACCGAUUUCAGAACGCGACUGUUAGUAAUUCGUUCUUUUAUCAGUGUAAUACGCUUGUUAAACAUUGCACUUUUGAAAAAGUGCGUAUGUACCAUUUCAGCGCUCCACUGAUAUACUAUCACUUAUUCGCUACUUGUUCGUUCUUGUUAACUUUUUAUACGUUGCAUCUUAUUUUUGCUUUCUUCUCUUUUAUCGUCUUAUUUCUAGUGUUGGGUUUGUAGACGGGAAAUAAACAUAUGAGCGCGUAUGUUCCCCUUUCAGCGCGCGACUUAUACUCUGUUACUUAUUUAUUCUAUUUUUGCUUUUAAUACGUUGCAUUAUAUUUAUCAUGUGUUUGCCUCUGUUGGUAGCUUGUGGUUUGUGGAGGUGAGAUUACCCUAUAAACGCACAUACACCUUCCUGCCUGUUUGUGCCUUACUCGUUCCUAUUUUUUUUUCGAGUAGUCUCGAUUAUCCAGACGCUCCAUAUGCAUAUGUAGAGUCUGGAUCCAAUCGGUUCGAAUGAUUGUAAUGUGAGGGCGUGUCCAAAUAUGCAAACACAUGAGUUAGAUAUUUUCGGAAUUUUUCUAGACUUAUCGUUCCUUUGUGGUAAAACUAAAAAAAAAUAAAAAAUGGAGGAAGUAGCAUUCACCAUGCCUGAAAUUUGUAAAGCUAGGUAAUAAGAUUUGUGCAUUUGUAAAUAUACUUUCAAAUACAUUUACUUCAUUAAUAAGAACUAUCUUUAAAGAAAUGAAACACUGCAUACUCAAGUGCAUGCAUUACUUUUUUGUAGAUACGUCAGUUUCAGUGUUUGUUAUUAGUCCCCUUUAUAAAUCAUUCGAGAGAGUUCGUGGACUAGUGGUCAAGACCGAUGGCUACAGUGCUGAAGGUCCCGCCGAGUUCGAUUCUCACUCGGGUGCAAAAAUUCAGUACAUUAAAGGGUAUUUUCACCCUCUCACACACAUCUCUGGUACCCAGACCAGAGUUUAAGGUUCAUCAUAACAAAUGAACAAAUAUGGCAGUAUUUCAACUCAAAAACCACUCAAUAUACAGACUUACCUGUGCUGUUUGGAAAGUUUUAAUGCCUAGCAUAUCCA
rnacentral:lncRNA from 1 species